UACGGAGGGUGCAAGCGUUAUCCGGAUUCACUGGGCUUAAAGGGUGCGUAGGUGGGAAGGUAAGUCAGUGGUGAAAUCCCCGAGCUUAACUUGGGAACUGCCAUUGAUACUAUCUUUCUUGAAUACCUUGGAGGUGAGCGGAAUAUGUCAUGUAGCGGUGAAAUGCUUAGAUAUGACAUAGAACACCAAUUGCGAAGGCAGCUCACUACACGGUCAUUGACACUGAGGCACGAAAGCGUGGGGAUCAAACAGG
rnacentral:rRNA from 1 species